UACGAAGGGAGCGAGCGUUGUUCGGAAUCACUGGGCGUAAAGAGUGCGUAGGCGGUUUUCUAAGUUUGGUGUGAAAUCUCCCGGCUUAACUGGGAGGGUGCGCCGAAAACUGGAAGGCUUGAGUAUGGGAGAGGUAAGCGGAAUUCCGGGUGUAGCGGUGGAAUGCGUAGAGAUCCGGAAGAACACCGGUGGCGAAGGCGGCCUGCUGGGCUAUGGCUGACACUGAGGCGCGACAGCGUGGGGAGCAAACAGG
rnacentral:rRNA from 1 species